AGAGUUUGAUCCUGGCUCAGGAUGAACGCUGACAGAAUGCUUAACACAUGCAAGUCUACUUGAAUUCACUUCGGUGAUAGUAAGGUGGCGGACGGGUGAGUAACACGUAAAGAACUUGCCUUACAGUUUGGGACAACUAUUGGAAACGAUAGCUAAUACCGGAUAUUAUGAAUUUUCCGCAUGGAAGAUUUAUGAAAGCUAUAUGCGCUGUGAGAGAGCUUUGCGCCCCAUUAGCUAGUUGGUGAGGUAACAGCUCACCAAGGCAACGAUGGGUAGCCGGCCUGAGAGGGUGAACGGCCACAAGGGGACUGAGACACGGCCCUUACUCCUACGGGAGGCAGCAGUGGGGAAUAUUGGACAAUGGACCAAAAGUCUGAUCCAGCAAUUCUGUGUGCACGAUGACGGUCUUCGGAUUGUAAAGUGCUUUCAGUUGGGAAGAAAGAAAUGACGGUACCAACAGAAGAAGCGACGGCUAAAUACGUGCCAGCAGCCGCGGUAA
rnacentral:rRNA from 1 species